UGGAAUUCUUGCAUUUGCAGUAAGGAUUUGGGAGUGUGAAAAGAGAAUCAUUGAAGUUAUGUUCAAUUGAUCUAGUUCACAAAGUAAAGAUCAUAGACAAACAUAGUAUGCAUACUUGGUGUGUGGCAUGACUAGUGUUUAAGAAAACAUAGUGUACAUGCUUGGAGCAUGGGACAACUAUUGUUUUAAAUUCAAGAAUAAAGUUGAUAGCUGAAACAGUAUACAAUGAAUAAUGUGUAAUCAUAUGGUGAUAAAUAAAAGGUGUUUUAUUUAUGUUCAAAGGGUUGAUACCAUAUUGGAUUCAAUUAUUAUUGUGUUUCACUUUGCAUGUUUUGACUUCCCGAAUAAACUGGGUUAUUCUUCCGGAAUGACUAAGUUAUUCAAACCAUCCACAGUCGGUCAUAUGUUGGAAGUAGAUAUGAAUUAAGACUGUCAUGAUGGGUUGUAGAGGUCUAAGGUGUUGGACAAGGCUACAACAAUCAUGAGUGCUCAUAAGUUCUGAGUAUUGGAUUCAACCCGCGCUCAUUGGAAUCACUUCAUGGAUUUUAUCACGAGUGAUCAUGAGACGAUAAUAUCUUAUAUUCUUCAAACCUAGAGAUAUGAGUUGUUACUAUGAGUUGAUAGUACAUUGAUUGCACGAAAACGCAUUUGGUAACUCGGUGCUAUAAAACGUGCCUUUGUGUAUGAUUCAACAAGUAGUAGAACAAGCCAUAUGAGUCGAAGUUUAUCCGUUCCUUUUACCUUCGGGAUAAAAGCGAUAUCUGUGGGCCCCUCGAUGAUUUGAUGAUGACAAAUGGAAGUGCUCGGCCGGGCCAGGACUGAUUUGAUUUGUUCAAUUAGUCAGUCGUCAUAAAUCGGAAAUCGGGAAACAACAAAUGGACAGAGAGAAUGAUUAUAAUCCAUGUCUCAGUCCAUAUGAUAUCUAGAAUGGAGGAAUAUAUGAUCCCUUAUCUAAUGGACAAGUCACUGACAAAGGUCAGAGUUCAUCUACAAGGUCAGAGUUCGACAGAAGCUUUUGAGAGCUACGAUUGCCGGUUGGUUCCUGAAGUCAUACGCAAUAAUAGUUUUAGACUUAUCCAAGUGGGAGACUGUUGGAUUAAUGUCUAAGUCCAUAACUAUAUUUGGUAAGACUUGACCCGACCCGGCAUGGUCCAUUUGGGUUGCAUACCAUCAUGCACUUGAAUGAGAGAAAUAAGACACUUAUGGUUAUUAAUAUAUUAUAAGUUCUAGUAUAUUAAUAAUAAGAAUAAUAAGAUUAUUUAAUUAGUAUUGAUCAAGAAUUAAUCUAGGAUUAAUUAAGUGAUCAAAAGAAGACUAAUUAAAUAUAUGGGUUGAUUGUGUAAAUCAUCCAUACUUGUAUAGUGGGCUAAUGCUCCAUGGAUAAUCAAGUUGGGCUAAAACCCAUAGGAUGGUCCAUGGAUGCUCCAUGGUGUAUUUGUACCCAUGGAUCCAAGGAAAUGGAAAGUCAUGACAAUUAGGGUUUGCCCUAAUUGUAACACUAUAUAAGCAUCAUAUUAUUCACCAAAAUUGGCACUAGUGAGUGUACUAGAAGGGCUAGCCGAUUUCAUGAAGUGUGGGUUUUCUCUCAAGUCAUUCCAAGUGUUUUGAUGAUUGUGAUUCCAUUUGAGGUGUCACACUUGGGGCACUAGGCACUCUAGCUUCAUGAAGACUUUCUUCUCCAAAGAGGUAUGUAUUCUAUCUUGCUAUAGUCAUUGUUUUGUAUGCUAGAUUAGGAUAAUACCUUGGAAGUUCUUAUUUGCAUGUAUAAUAGAGAAAACAUAGAUCCAAGGUAUUUAGGGUUGCAUGUACACUUAGGAAGUGUUAGAAUGCUCAAAACCCUACAGUUCUGUAUUGUGAUAUGAUAUGAGUAUGGUUAUAUGUGGUUGGUAUUUUUGGGGUAACUCACUAAGCUUUCGGGCUUACAGUUCAUUGUUUUGUUUCAGGUACUUCGGGAGAUCGUGGCAAGGCGAAGGCGUGAUCGUACCGUUCCUCAUGUUUUACGAUUUGUGUGUUAUGGUUCUGGGGAAUACUCUGAUGUUUAAACUAUUUUGAAACAAAUGUAUGAACUUAAUGGUUUUUGAAUGAAUUAAAAUGUUUUAAUUUGGCUCGAAUUUUAUGGUCGUUACAAGUUGGUAUCAGAGCCUUGGUUUGAGUGAAUUGGAGGAACAUUCAGGUGAAUCCAGUCUCAAAUCAAGGGGAGUUUCAAAAUAAUUUUAUAAAUGGUUUUCAAAUGAGUAAAAGAGGAGGCGGAGUGUACGAUCACCCGGAGCCAGUAAGUUGCCCCCAAAAUACCAUACAAUUUAUUUGAUUAUGUUAUAUGUUAGAACAACAUGCUAGUACUAGGCUAGGGAUCUUCAGGGAUUGCAUGAUAUAAUUGCCUGAUCACAUGAUGCCUGCUAGCCUAGGGUUCUCUUAUGGGUGGGUUGUGAGAGGUCAGAAGGCCAGUUAUGAGAUAUUUAGUAUUCCUCUAGGAGUGAGGAUGGAGUGUUCAUCAUGUAUAUGGCAUUUUUAGGGUGUUAUGGUGAUACUUGAUACAAAUAUGGGUAGGUGUGGAAGGUAGUAUGGGCAUGUACUACUGAAAGCACAUGACCCAUACGCGUAUCAAGGAAGUCACAACCCCUAGGGUUUGGUUGGGAGCUAGUUCUCGGGGAUAGUUAUGAGGGAUGCCUAAUGUUCUCAUGGUGUAUUUUCAGUAUGGCGAUUACGAGAAGUUUCGAGGCAGGAUCCGGUUCGGGAUUGGGAGCAGGAGAGGGUGGUCAGGAUGGACCAAUACCACCCGAGGUCAUUGUUCAGGUGAGUACAGAAAAGUUGGAUGUCAGGAUUCAUGAGAUCCUGCAUUAUGAGGUUGCUGCUAUGUUUCGGGCUGAGAUACCGGAGAUGUUUGGGUCGAUCAAGACUGCCAUGGUUAAGUACUUUGAUGAGCGCUAUGCAGCUCUUCCAGAGGCGGCUGUCGCGGCAGCUACAUCGGCUGUAGCAACGACAGGGGGAGGAGCCGGUCGAGGUUUUCAGUAUCGGGAUUUCGAUAAUACAAAGCCCCUACUUUCAAUGGAGUUCAGGAUCCGAUCAUUGCUAUGAGAUGGUUGUCAGACGUGGAGGGUUGUUUCUUCACGUGUUCAUGCCCUGCGGACCAGAGGGUGAGGUGUGCUCUGAACCUUUUGAGGCUCAGGGUGAAGGAUUGGUGGAGGUUGACUACGGGAUCUUAUUCUGAUGCGCAGCAGGCUGCAGUUUCAUGGGAUCAGUUCCAAGAGAUGUUUCGUACUCGUUAUGUUCCGCAACUUGAAAGAGAGAGGUUGGCUCAGGAGUUCCUGGAACUGAAGCAGGAUUCAGAGUUGGUGACAGAGAUCACCAGGAUGUUCACUGAUAGGGCGAUAUUUUGCCUGGAGUUUGCUUCAGAGCAGGCUCAGAUGUCCCGAUAUCUGAGUAUGCUCAAGAGGGACAUCAGGCAGUUUGUGUCCACAUAGAGAUGUGGUACGUUGUUAGAGCUACAGGAGGCCGCCAGGCGGCGAGAGUUAGAGAUGGAGUUGCAGUUACGAGAGUAGAGGCAGACUCCGAUGCAGUCGUAGCCGGCGCCGAAACGGUCCAAAACCGUUGACUCUAGGGUUGGAGGUCAGAGCAGCUACACUUAUGAGAAGUGUGGGAAGGGUCAUGUCGGAGUUUGUAGGUCCGGUGGUGUGUGUCGCAAGUGUGGGAGAGAGGGGAAUUAUGCGAGGGAUUGUCGUCAGUCGGUCCCGGCUCAGGAUAUGAGGAUCUGUUAUCAUUGUCAUCAGGUUGGACACUUGAGGGUCAACUGUCCACAACUUGUUGCAAGGCCGGUGCAGGCUCCAGCACCGGCCACAUUGAGGAUUACGGGUGGAGAUCAGAGUGGAACGGAGCCUCCGAGGGCUCAGGGGCGCACUUUCCAGCUUACAACACAGGAGGUCAGGGCAGAGUCGAAUGCAUCUGCGGGUAUGUUUCCAUUUGAUAUCUUGUUAUCUUGUUGAUUAUGUGGUAUUGUAGAUCUGUUCACCUUUUUCGCAUGAUUCAUGGUAUGAUUGAGGAUCUUAGUAGUUAGGGGUUGUAGUCGAUUAGCAUCCAAGAGGAUAGGUGAUCGGAAGAUAGGAUAUAUGAUCAUGGUUGCUAGGAAUAGCAACUACGAUGCGGGAAGUGUUCAGUUGAGAUUCGAACUUCCUUGGAGUUCAGGAUGUGCAAUGUCGGGAGAGUGUUCUGUGGAGAUUGCUCAACCCAGAGGGUUUUAGUUCCUGAAGAAAGGGGAACUUUAUCAAGUAAGGUCGAUCGAGUUAUGCCGGGUUGUUAGCGGAAAUUAGUAGUUGGUACACUAGGUGGGGAGAAUUGGAAAAUUCUCAGGUAAAACAGCAAGUAUCCAGGGUUGGUUAGCCGUUUAGAUUUAUCGGUGUUGUUAGCCGAGGGUGUGGCAUGAUUGGAGCAAGUGAUAGACAAGUGGGGCAGGGAACGGACCAUGGUUUCAGGGAAGGUAGUUGGUCGAUGUGAGUCCUUGGUUUAGGACAUGGAAAGGAUUUUGGGAACGGAACGGGUGUUCGGAACCCAUAGAGGGCUAGAACAGACUGCAUGGGAGAGAUUCCUGGGAAGAAUGGUUUAGGGCGAUGAAUGACAGUUAUGAGCGGCGCGGAUAGACUGAAGGUCGGAGGCAUACCAGUCAGGCCGAAGGCUCGGGGAAUAGUCCAGUCAGGUUGAAGUCCCAUAGGGCGGUCCAGACAUGCUGAAGGUUCUGAGAUUCGUCCAGGUAGGCUGAAGGCUUGGUAAGGCAGUCCAGUCAUGUUGAAGUCUCUGUAUGGGUUAGUGGAUCUGUAUGCGGAGAAUGAGUGAAUAUGUCGCCAUGCAAUAGUAAUCGAUAUGGUCUGGCCCCAAGUAUUGAUCAAGAUGAUGGAGUUGGCUGGAGGCCGUGCAUGGGCCUUGUUAGUUAUGAGAUCGGAUUCGGAGUAUAUGGGAGUUCGAGAAUAGCAGUUGCUCUACAUGGAUAGUGUAGAGUGGAGUUUAGCACAGUGGCAUUUACAGGUGUGGUAAGGGUUGUUGAGUAGAUUUCCGGGAAAGGAAAUGUAUGUAGCUCUGGGAAGGAGUGUGGGUUAUCUGAAAGGAAAGCAGUAGUGUAAAUGGAUGAUCGAAAGUACUUCAGUUAUUGAUAGUAAGCACUAUGAUUGUACCAGAUGUAUGAAAGCACAUACGGGUUGGAUGCCCGUUGAGGUUGUGGAAUGGUUAGCACGGAUGUUGAGUUAGAGGAGCUCGGAAGUGAUGCAAGGGUAGAUCCUUGGGUUCCAAAUUAUGGUUGAGGUCAUGAGUUAUGUAUGUAGUGGUGUUCCAUCUUAAGGAUGGUCGGAUCAUCGUAGGCGUGCCUGGUCUUCCAGCCCGAGGCUGAUUGGACCAGGUACGGUGUGUAUAUACGUUAUAGCUAGGUGUCCAUGAGAGUUACUCGGAAGAUGUGAGAUGUUCUAUCAUGUCAGCGUGGUAAGGGAUUUGACUCAAGGAGGAAACGAGUUGAGUUUCCAUCGGUGCAAGUUAAUAGAAGUAGCACCAGUUGGGCAAAGCAUAGCAGGUUCAUACUGGGUCAGGACCCGGUGGUUUAUAAUGGCAUCCAGUUUUCGCAGGCGGCGAAUGAAUGCGUAAGACGGAAGUAUGGUAAUGUCAUCAGGUGGCACUUAGUUGAUGAGUGUUUUCAUAAGAGAAAAGAAGCUGGUAACCGGCUUGAAGCAGUUAUCAGGACCCUGCAAGGGAAGAGAUGGAUUUUACAAGGAUUCGAUAGUAGUGUCUGAAGGAAUUUUGGUCGGUUUGAGAUCAGUGCAUGCAUUGUGAGAAUAUCAUCCGGAAGUUUGUGUUGUCGCGGGCUUCGAGGAUGAAGCCUAAUUUAAGUGGGGGAGAAUAGUAACAUCCCACAUUCGCAAACAAGUAGUUGAAGGGUGCUAAGUGUAAAUUAAGGAAGCUACUCGACGAGUAGGUAUGCUACUCGUCGAGUCGGAGUGGGAGUGAUCGCGGGUUAAGUGGCCAACUCGCCGAGUCGGAAGUUGUACUCGACAAGUUGGUGCUGGAAUGAGAAAACCCUAAUCCUGAAGGUUGCACCCUAUUUAAAGGACUUUAUGUCCUUUUCCCAACCUCCUAAUCCCCCUGAGAGUUCCAGAAGAACUCUAAUUUCGUGUGAGACUUCAUUGUUAAGGAAUUGGAGCUUGGAAGAGGAAUUUGGUGUAAGGAGCUUGAGGAAUUAGAGGCUAGCAUCAAGGGGAUUGUGUGGAUCUGGGAUCUACAUCUGUUUGGGCACAUUUCAGAGGUAAGAAGCCAUAAUCUUAAGCUAUUUUCCUUUUUGGUUCAUCCUUGGUGGUUGAUGUGGAGUUCAUUAGUUUGUUUGAUAUCUAUUUCGGGUUUGGAGUUUAGAUCUGAGGUUGCUACUCCAGAUCUAGACUUAUGAUGGCCUAUAAUGUCAUAAAUUUUCAGUCAUUGAGUUGUUGGUGAAGCCCUUUUGUCUAAAACCCAAGCCCUAGUGUGUUUUGGGCCUAUAUCUCCUUGGUUUCACGUAAAGUUUGCAACUUUAUGUGAGGGUUAGAUUGUAGAAGGGUGGAUCUAUGGAUUGGAGACCCUGCAUGGCUCGAAAAGCCUCUAAUUGGAGUGAGAACUGGAGAGACUCAGCGAGUCACAUGGGUGUACUCGACGAGUUGUAUAAACAUGUGCAUGGACUCGACGAGUGGAAGAACAACUCGGCGAGUCUGUUGAAGAUUGCCUUGGACUCAGCUAGUCUGUUCUUGGACUCGGCGAGUCAGGCCGCAGAACCCCAACCUCUUUUGGUUAAAGCCUUGGAUUAAGUGAGUCGUUUGGCAACUCAGUGAGUCGGACAGGAUGGGACUCAGAGAUCGUUGGACUCGGUGAGUCUUGGGGCGACUCAACGAGUUAAGUUGUGUUAUGAGAGUUUUCUGGGUAUGGGAACUCGGCGAGUCGACAGGGUGACUCGGCGAGUAGAGUCAACCAGGAAGGUUGACUUUGACUGAGGACUUUGACUUUGACCAAGAGUUGGCCAGUUUGACUUCCAAGGGUACUUUGGUAAUAUUGGUAUUUAUGGAAUUGGUUCUUUGGUAGUGUUCAGUGGCGAUGAUCGUGUCGGUCGUCGGAGCAGCUUGGUCUUAUCUUUUUAGUCGGCAAUUGCAGGUGAGUUAACCUCACUUUAUCGACAGGGUCUACGGCACCAAGGCCGGCCCUUUAUCGGAUGGAAAUUCGGGUAUUGUUUGCUAUGUUAUUGAUUUGCUAGAUCUACAUUCUGGUAUUUAGGAUUGUAUUAUGUUAGUGACCUGGUUAAGGUCAGUACCCCGAUAUAUAGGGUAAUGUUAUGCUAGUGACCGGUUAGGUCGGAAUCCUGGUUAGGAUGUUGAUAUGCCAUGUGAUAUGUCAGACUGUCUAUCUGGUUAAGGAAUUGUUAUGUGAUUAAUUGUUUUAUGUGCACGUGAUUGUUUGACUGGGGUUGGGGUGAGGCGGGUCCUGCUUUAUGCUGUAGGCCAAUAUACCCAAGGCGGAUCAGAUAUCCCGAAGGCCCAACAAGCGGUCCGGAUAGGCAGAAGGCCCUAUGCGGGCAGACCAGACGUGCCAAGGCUCGGAGAGUGGACCAGGCCGACUGAAGGCCCGAUGUGGGCGGACUAGUCAUACUGUAGACUCAGAGAGUGGACCAGGGGGAUUGAAGGCCCGAUNGAGUGGACCAGGUGGAUUGAAGGCCCGAUACGGGCGGACCAAUCACACUAUAGACUCGAUGUACAUGGCUAGACUCGAAGGGUGGACCUGGUGGACUGAAGGCACGGUGCGGGCGGACCAAUCACACUGUAGACUCGAUGUACAUGGCUAGACUCGGAGGGUGGACUAGGGGGACUGAAGGCCCGGUGCUGGCGGACAAAUCACACAGUAGACCCGAUGUGCAUGGUUGUUCUGUAUUGUGAUAUGAUAUGAGUAUGGUUAUAUGUGGAUGGUAUUUUGGGGGUAACUCACUAAACUUUCGGGCUUACAGUUCAGUGUUUUAUUUCAGGUACUUCAGGAGAUCGUGGCAAGGCGAAGGCAUGAUCAUAGCGUUCCUCAUGUUUUACGAUUUAUGUGAUAUGGUUCUAGGGAAUACUAUGAUGUUUAAACUAUUUUGAAACAAAUGUAUGAACUUAAUGGUUUUUGAAUGAAUUAAAAUGUUUUAAUUUGGCUCGAAUUUUAUUGUCGUUACAAUGGUGCCUUAGCUAUCGGAGUGGCACUCGGCACCAAAUCAAUGUGAAACUCCACUUGCCUAUCCAGAGGCACCCUAGGAAACUCCUUGGGAAAGACAUCCGGAUAAUCCUGUACAACCAGUACACUUCUCAAAUCUAUUGGGUUCUCGACCCUCGUAUUCGAGAUAUACGCCAAAAAUUCUGCACAUCCCUGAUGGGGAAGUCUCCUAGCCCUCGCAGCUGAACAGAGGGUUGCCCCCUACGAGGCCCUCUCCCCAGGAAUAAUCAGUUCUCCACCACUUGGUGUUUAAACUCUCACCAGUUGACGCUCGCAGUCUAUCGUGGCCCCAUUGGCCCCCAACCAGUCCAUUUCGACGAUCACCUUCAGUCCUCGCAAUGGUUUCAAAACCAUAUCAACACAGAACCUAUCCCCAAACACAUUUAGGAUACAAUCCUGAUCUACCCUUUCCGCACUCACGAUGCGGUAAUCCGCAAUCUAAACCUCCAGCGAGGAAUCCAACGUCCCCGGAGCACCCUUAAACUUCUUGCUGAGUGCAAGAGACACAAAUGAUUGGGUAGCCUCCAAAUCAAAAAGAACAUGGAUUGACAUACUAUUGACCAAAAACGUCCCAGACACGACAUCUGGAACUGCCCGCGCCUCCUCGGUAGUCAACUGAAAUGUGCGGCUCUUCACUGCCGGAGUUUUCGCCUUGGAAGGGCGGCCAUCAGUGAUCCUCAUCGUGGCGGGAGCAGGCGUCGUCACUGCUCCUCCUCUUUUAACAUCCAUAAAAUUCAUGAAAAUUUAAAACUUUUUCAAGCAUUCAAAAACCAUCAUUUAUUACAAAAUGUUUUCAAAAUAGUUUCAUAUCAGAGUAUCCAAAAAUCAAAUCAUAAAAAUGCAAGGAGGUGCACCAUCAUGCCUUCGCCUUCAUGCGAUCAUCCGAAGUACCUGAAACAAAAUCCAAAAAUGUAAGCCCGAAGCUUAGUGAGUAUCCCCAUAAUUCGGUUAUGACUACGGUAUCCCUUUUCAUAAUCUGAAUUAUGAGAACUUGGCAAAUAGAAAUGGAAAUGUUAUAGCAAAAGACUGGUUUAGUCUUUAUGUGAGACAUCAUGAAUCGUGUCCCAUAUGCUUCAGAUAUAGGAUCGAUUACAUGUGCUAUAUUCAUCCUUUCUAAAAUUUUCCAAAUGCCUGGGGCAUUAAGAAGGGAAAAGGUCUAGAAUUGGAUAUGACUAAAAAAAAUUAAACAAUUGUUGAGGACAAUCUAAGGCUUACCAAAGAUUGGUUGAUCAAGGACAGUUGGAGGUAUAGUGAUAAUUUUGGUAGGAACAUAUUGACAUAAUCUGUAAGGAGGCAACUCUUGUUCAUAAGUGAUAGUCAAAAUGGAAUAUGGAAAUGUUUCAAAGUUAGAAAUUAUUCAAUCUGUGUAAGAUUAGGAAACUUAAUGCAAGAAGGAUGUUUCCAAGGAGCUGAUCUCCUUUGGAAUGCUCUGUAAUGAUUAUUGGCAAGUCUUUCCGACUUUGUGCAUAAUCAUUACAAGAGGAUCAACGCAUAUAAGUUUAGAAUCUAACAUAUUUCAGUAAAUGGCAUGAAUUUGGAAUUCUUGCAUUUGCGGUAAGGAUUUGGGACUGUGAAAAGAGGAUCAUUGGAGUUGUGUUCAAUUGAUCUAAUUCACAAAAUUAAGAUCAUAGACAAACAUAGUAUGCAUACUUGGUGUAUGGCAUGACUAGUGUUUAGAAAACAUAGUGUACAUGCUUGGAGCAUGUGACAACUAUUGUUUUAAAUUCAAGAAUAAAGUUGAUAGCUGAAACAGUAUACAAUGAAUAAUGUGUAAUCAUAUGGUGAUAAAUAAAAGGUGUUUUAUUUAUGUUCAAAGGUUUUGAUACCAUAUUGGAUUCAAUUAUUAUUGUGUUUCACUUUGCAUGUUUUAACUUCCUGAAUAACUAGGUCAUUGUUCUGGAUGACUAAGUUAUUCAAACCAUCCAUAGUCGGUCAUAUGUUGGAAGUAGAUAUGAAUUAAGACUGUCAUGGGUUGGCUUGUAGAGGUCUAAGAUGUUGGACAAAGGGCUACAACACUCAUGAGUGCUCAUAAGUUCUGAGUAUUGGAUUCAACCCGCGCUCAUUGGAAUCACUUCAUGGAUUUUAUCACGAGUGAUCAUGAGACGAUAAUA
rnacentral:lncRNA from 1 species